rnacentral:sRNA from 1 species
AAAGAACAAAAGAGAUGUCAAAAAC